rnacentral:rRNA from 1 species
GACGUGGGGGGCCAGCGUUGUUCGGAAUUACUGGGGGUAAAGGGUUCGUAGGCGGUGUGGCAAGUCGGGAGUGAAAUCUCUGGGCUCAACCCAGAGGCUGCUUCCGAAACUGCUGUGCUUGAGUGUGGGAGAGGCGCGUGGAAUUGCAGGUGUAGCGGUGAAAUGCGUAGAUAUCUGCAGGAACACCCGUGGCGAAAGCGGCGCGCUGGACCACAACUUACUCUGAGGAACGAAAGCUAGGGGAGCAAACAGG